rnacentral:rRNA from 1 species
CCUACGGGCGGCAGCAGUGGGGAAUACUGCACAAUGGGGGAAACCCUGAUGCAGCGACGCCGCGUGAGUGAAGAAGUAUUUCGGUACGUAAAGCUCUAUCAGCAGGGAAGAAAAUGACGGUACCUGACUAAGAAGCCCCGGCUAACUACGUGCCAGCAGCCGCGGUAAUACGUAGGGGGCAAGCGUUAUCCGGAUUUACUGGGUGUAAAGGGAGCGUAGACGGCAGCGCAAGUCUGGAGUGAAAUCCCAUGGCUUAACCAUGGAACUGCUUUGGAAACUGUGCAGCUAGAGUGCAGGAGAGGUAAGCGGAAUUCCUAGUGUAGCGGUGAAAUGCGUAGAUAUUAGGAGGAACACCAGUGGCGAAGGCGGCUUACUGGACUGUAACUGACGUUGAGGCUCGAAAGCGUGGGGAGCAAACAGGAUUAGAUACCCGAGUAGUC